UUCUAGAAAUAAAAGAAAACAUUCUUAAUUCUCUGAGUUUUUUCUUUUUAGUUUUUUUAUUUGAGGGUUAGGGCCACUCUGGAUCAUCAGAACUGUAUGGGAAAAUUUGACUGACACCUGCUUUCCUUCAUAGUACAACAGUAGACAACAUGUAAUGUAAAAAUAUCUUGUCAUGGUCCGUGGUCCUGUGUCUAAGGUGUCUGUGUGUGUGUGUGUUGGAUGCCCUGGUGGCCACACCCCUGGGCUGGGCCAUUACCGGCACACCUGCUUCCCAUCCGGGGCGAUUACCUGAAGGACUAUUUAACCCCGCGCUGACGGAUGCUCCACGCCAGUCCAUUAAUCACCUCUCUGUGAUUUCGAUCCGGCGUCCUGCAUCUGCCACCUGCCUGUCCUCCUGCUCGCUUGGAGCACACGGUGCAUCACCUGGCCUCAUCACCGACUCCACAGAUUCCCUUUCCACGGACUUACACACUCCCCUCCCAAGUCCCACGGUCCCCACUCUGAUCCCUCCCCACGGUCCCGAUCUCUGCUUCCCCGCGUCAUUUUACAUCCCCGAGUUUUUCAGUUCCUCGCUUUCUUCUCUGGUUAUCCCGGGUCACCUUUUGAUAACAUAGUAAAGUGUGUUUUCCUGCUCGCAUACGAGUCUGCUUUUUGAUCCUUUGGUGCAUGCGUGCCUCGGCACAUGACAAUCUAGCUCUAAAAUAUACACUGAACAAAAAUAUAAAAACAACACUAUUGUUUUUGCUCCCAUUUUUCACGAGCUGAACUCAAACAUCUGAAAAUUUUUCUACAUACACAAGAGACCCAUGACUGUCAAAUAUUAUUGUCAAAUCUUUAUAAAUCUGUGUUAGUGAGCAAUUUUCCAUUACAAAGAUAAUCCAUCCCACCUCACAGGUUUGGCAUAUCAAAGGGCUGAUUAGACAGCAUGGAUAUUGCACAGGUGUACCUUAGACUGGCCACAAUAAAAGGCCACCCUGAAAUGUGCAGUUUAAUCAAACAGCACAAUGCCACAGAUGCCGCAACCUUUGAAGAAGCGUGCAAUUGGCAUGCUAACUGCAGGAAUGUAUACCAGACUUGUUGCCCGUGAAAUUAAUGUUCAUUUCCCUACCAUUUGCCGUCUCCAAUAGUGAUGGGUACCGGUGUCCGGUUCCAUGAUGGCACCGGUUCUGACAUAAACGGUAGUAACCAGACCGAAAAGCAGCGCACAUUUCGGUGCUUUAUUUCGGUGCU